CUCUGCAACUUUCCCAUAUAGUGCUGCUCGUGGUGAUCUGUUUAUGACAUAACAUGCCAUGUUCACUGCUUCUGCCCAAAAACUCUUCGAGAGCCCUGCGUUUAGCCUCAAGCAUCUUGCCCGUUCUGCAAUUGUUCUGUUCAUCCUUUCCGCAACACCAUUCUGUUGUGGUGUCUUGCGAACUGUAUAGUGCCGCUGAAUACCAUGCUCCUCACAAAAUCUCAGAAACUGUGAAUCUGUAUACUCUGUACCGUUAUCUGUCCUUAGAUACUUAAUUUUUCUGCCCACUUGGUUCUCUACUUCUGCUUUCCAUAAUUUGAACUUGGCAAAAGCUUCAGACUUGUGUUUCAUGAAAUAUACCCAAACUUUUCUAGAGAAGUCAUCAAUGAAAGUAAUAAAGUACUGAGAUCCACCUUUGGACAAUUCCCUCACUGUUCCCCAAACAUCUGAGUGCACAUAAUCAAGAAUUCCCCCUGUCUUGUGCUUUCCCAUCUUGAACUGUACUCUGGACUGUUUUCCAAGUAUACAAAACUUGCAAAAAUUCAACUUGCAUGAUUUUACCCCCUUCAACAAAUUUCUCUUGUGAAACUCAACCAUGCCACGUUCUCCUAUAUGCCCCAGUCGCAUAUGCUAUAGAAGAGUGUCAUCUGACUCUGAUUCUGCUGUAGCAACUCCACCUACAACUGUAUCCCCGAAUAGUUUGUAGAUAUUCCCUACUAAUUUCUGACCCUUCAUCACAAUCAUAGCCCCUUUCUUCACUAUUAGAGCCCCACACUCUGACUUAUAAGAGUAAUCGUUUGGGUCUAAAGUGCCUAAAGAAAUUAGAUUCUUUUUCAACUCAGGUACAUGCCUAACAUUUUCCAAGGUCCUUA
rnacentral:lncRNA from 1 species